rnacentral:rRNA from 1 species
GACGAACGCUGGCGGCGCGCCUAACACAUGCAAGUCGAACGAGAGAUGAGGAGCUUGCUCUUCAAAUCGAGUGGCGAACGGGUGAGUAACGCGUGAGGAACCUGCCCCUGGAGUGGGGGACAACAGUUGGAAACGACUGCUAAUACCGCAUAAGCCCACGGCCCGGCAUCGGGCUGAGGGAAAAGGAUUUAUUUGCUUCAGGAUGGACUCGCGUCCAAUUAGCUAGUUGGUGAGGUAACGGCCCACCAAGGCGACGAUUGGUAGCCGGACUGAGAGGUUGAACGGCCACAUUGGGACUGAGACACGGCCCAGACUCCUACGGGAGGCAGCAGUGGGGGAUAUUGCACAAUGGGGGAAACCCUGAUGCAGCGACGCCGCGUGGAGGAAGAAGGUUUUCGGGUUGUAAACUCUUUUGUCAGGGACGAGUAGAAGACGGUACCUGACGAAUAAGCCACGGCUAACUACGUG